CUAUCGGUAUGGGAUGGGGUCGCGUCCUAUCAGCUUGAUGGCGGGGUAACGGCCCACCAUGGCUUCAACGGGUAGCCGGCCUGAGAGGGCGACCGGCCACAUUGGGACUGAGAUACGGCCCAGACUCCUACGGAAGGCAGCAGUGGGGAAUAUUGCACAAUGGGCGCAAGCCUGAUGCAGCGACGCCGCGUGCGGGAUGACGGCCUUCGGGUUGUAAACCGCUUUUGACUGGAAGCAAGCCCUUCGGGGUGAGUGUACCUUUCGAAUAAGCACCGGCUAACUACGUGCCAGCAGCCGCGGUAAUAC
rnacentral:rRNA from 1 species